ACCCUUUAAUGUUUGAUGUUCUAACGUGGACCCGUGAUCCGGGUUGCGGACAGUGUCUGGUGGGUAGUUUGACUGGGGCGGUCUCCUCCUAAAGAGUAACGGAGGAGCACGAAGGUUGGCUAAUCCUGGUCGGACAUCAGGAGGUUAGUGCAAUGGCAUAAGCCAGCUUGACUGCGAGCGUGACGGCGCGAGCAGGUGCGAAAGCAGGUCAUAGUGAUCCGGUGGUUCUGAAUGGAAGGGCCAUCGCUCAACGGAUAAAAGGUACUCCGGGGAUAACAGGCUGAUACCGCCCAAGAGUUCAUAUCGACGGCGGUGUUUGGCACCUCGAUGUCGGCUCAUCACAUCCUGGGGCUGAAGUAGGUCCCAAGGGUAUGGCUGUUCGCCAUUUAAAGUGGUACGCGAGCUGGGUUUAGAACGUCGUGAGACAGUUCGGUCCCUAUCUGCCGUGGGCGCUGGAGAACUGAGGGGGGCUGCUCCUAGUACGAGAGGACCGGAGUGGACGCAUCACUGGUGUUCGGGUUGUCAUGCCAAUGGCACUGCCCGGUAGCUAAAUGCGGAAGAGAUAAGUGCUGAAAGCAUCUAAGCACGAAACUUGCCCCGAGAUGAGUUCUCCCUGAGACUUAAAGUCUCCUGAAGGAACGUUGAAGACGACGACGUUGAUAGGCCGGGUGUGUAAGCGCAGCGAUGCGUUGAGCUAACCGGUACUAAUGAACCGUGAGGCUUAACCUUACAACGC
rnacentral:rRNA from 1 species